rnacentral:rRNA from 1 species
GCAAGUAGGACGCACAGUUAUACCGUAGCUUGCUACACCAUAGACUGUGAGUUGCGAACGGGUGAGUAACGCGUAGGUAACCUGCCUAUUAGAGGGGGAUAACUAUUGGAGACGAUAGCUAAUACCGCAUAACAGUAUGUAACACAUGUUAGAUGCUUAAAAGAUGCAAUUGCAUCGCUAGUAGAUGGACCUGCGUUGUAUUAGCUAGUAGGUAGGGUAAAGGCCUACCUAGGCAACGAUACAUAGCCGACCUGAGAGGGUGAUCGGCCACACUGGGACUGAGACACGGCCCAGACUCCUACGGGAGGCAGCAGUAGGGAAUCUUCGGCAAUGGGGGGAACCCUGACCGAGCAACGCCGCGUGAGUGAAGAAGGUUUUCGGAUCGUAAAGCUCUGUUGUUAAGGAAGAACGAGUGUGAGAAUGGAAAGUUCAUGCUGUGACGGUACUUAACCAGAAAGGGACGGCUAACUACGUGCCAGCAGCCGCGGUAAUACGUAGGUCCCGAGCGUUGUCCGGAUUUAUUGGGCGUAAAGCGAGCGCAGGCGGUUAGAAAAGUCUGAAGUGAAAGGCAGUGGCUCAACCAUUGUAGGCUUUGGAAACUGUUUAACUUGAGUGCAGAAGGGGAGAGUGGAAUUCCAUGUGUAGCGGUGAAAUGCGUAGAUAUAUGGAGGAACACCGGUGGCGAAAGCGGCUCUCUGGUCUGU